rnacentral:tRNA from 1 species
UCCAAAUAUUCUUGGGCUGCAUAUAUGCCAAAAGGAACUUCACCAGCUUUACGCGCAAUUAGAUAAUCAUCUUU